rnacentral:lncRNA from 1 species
GGUGCUUAGGCACUGCAGUUGAGUGGCUCACAAGGAGCUAAAAUUUCACUAAUGCGUAUUCAGUGGGUGGUUCUGGUUUGCCUGAUUUUUGCCUCUGGGCAUGGCUGUUUCAGCCUGAGAGGCUGUUCCAAGAAUGUUGCUUUACUAGGAGCUCAUGCCGCCUGGUGGUAAAUAUGAAGUACAGCAGUGCAACAGACCAGUUUUACUCCAAGGAAACCCUGUAGAGAUGACAGCAAUGGUUGGUGAUUUCUGCCUCAAUUAUGAAAGUGAUCUGGUGGUUACAGGGCCAGAGAAGACUAGGGGAGUUCGGGUUUUCUAGACCAAACAGACACUCAGUCCUGGGCCUGGAGGUCUCUGCAGUGAGGUGCUGCCACAGACAGAGCCACCUUAACUCCUCAGGACAACCAGUGGCUUCCGACACACACUAUGCACUGGAGGGCAAGCAGCUCUCAGCUUGGGAGCAACUGAGGAUGGUGAACAGCCUGGGCAAGGAGUGCUCUGAGGCUAAGACCCUGAACAGCAGGGAACCGAAGUGCAGCUCCCCACUUCAGGUAAUGUGAUUCUACCCUUUGCCUGAGAAACAUAUCCAUCCUAAUUGCCAUGUGCUCAGCUGGACCACUAGAGGGAGCCAUCCUGUAACGGGUGAGGUCAACCUAACAAAUGGUAUCAGUCGAGUAUUGAUCGGAGGCCAACGCAAGAAGUUACCAGUAGCCUAUUUCAGAUUUAUUAAAAAACACAUAGGUAACGAGUCAGAGCUUUGGCUAGGAAUGAUUUGGAAAAGAACUGAAGGCAUAAUUCCACAGGACAUUCACAGUUGUGUGCUAGAGACAGAGAGGAGCAGGAAAGUGUUUUAGAAGCAUUUGCGGUGGACAAUGGAAGGCCCGGCUUCAUCGUAUUCCUGUUUGCUGAUCCACAUCUGCUGGAAGGUGGACAGAGAGGCCAGGAUGGAGCCACCGAUCCAGACAGAGUAUUUGCGCUCCGGAGGGGCAAUGAUCUGUCAGUCAAGAUGAAAAAGAAUGGUCAUUAAUGUCAUCAUUAGUGCAGUCGUUAGUGCGGUAGGACAGAGCCUGGAUGUUCUACCAUGGCCUAGUUUCUUGUUCAGCAGGGACACAGGCUUGUCUGUUAGAUGCCAAUUGUGUCCUAAUUGUGUCAUGUUCUUGGCAGGACCGCCAGAGGGAGCCAUGGAUUUAGAAAUUCUUCAGGUGGUUUCAUGGAUGCCAGCAGACUCCAUCCCUGGAAAAGAGACACAGGCCAUGGUCCUUAAGUGGAGAGUAAAACCCAGGCUAGACAUGGAAGACCAGACUUGAACAUCUGGAUGAUCUUGCAGUGGACUGAGGCUGGGAAGACAUAAUAAUCUAGGAACCACCUGUCUGAGAGACAAAAGGGUCUUGUUAUGCUCUAUGUCUUCCUGCCUGCCUUCUAAUGAGGAAGGCCUGCUGCAGCAUCCUGAGGUGUGGGCUACAACAGGAAAUGCUUUUGGUCUUGGGGCAACCGUCACUUGUCUCCAUGUUCUGGAGGCUGGCUUGAUAUGGAAGAAGACAAUGACUCCCCUUCCCAGGAAAAGGGCGUUUGUUGCCUACCGAUGAAGGAUGGCUGGAACAGGGUCUCUGGGCAGCGGAAACGUUCAUUUCCGAUGGUGAUCACUUGCCCAUCAGGCAACUCGUAACUCUUCUCAAGGGAGGAUGAGGAUGCGGCAGUGGCCAUCUCAUUUUCAAAGUCCAGAGCUACAUAACACAGUUUCUCCUUGAUGUCCCGGACAAUCUCACGCUCAGCUGUCAACCAGAUACAAACAUUGUGGCAAACAUUAGGGUCUGCACAGGUGGCAAAGAUUCACCUGCCCUACUGCAGUCUCUCCCUCAAGACAUGUGCCAUCAAAAAAUGUGUCAGUUCAAUAUUCUGCAAUCCAAAAUCCACAAUGAUAAUGACGUAGUAGGGCCACCAGGGAACCACCUCUGUUCCUAGGACAGUGUCUCAUGCAUAGUAGGCCCUCAGCAUGCAUUGUCUGGGAAAUGCAUAACAAGAAUAAAAUGAGCUAGCUAGAGAAAGGC